GAUGAACGCUGGCGGCGUGCCUAAUACAUGCAAGUCGAGCGAACAGACGAGGAGCUUUCUCCUCUGAGGUUAGCGGCGGACGGGUUAGUAACACGGGGAUAACCUACCUAUAAGACUGGGAUAACUUCGGGAAACCGCAGCUAAUGCCUGAUAAUAUAUUGAACCUCAUGGUUCAAUCGUGGAAUACGGUUUUGCUGUCACUUAUAGAUCGAUCCGCGCCGCAUUAGCUGUGUGGUAAGGUAACGGCUUACCAAGUCAACGAUGCGUAGACGACCUGAGAGGGUGAUCGGCCACCCUGGAACUGAGCCGGGGUCAAGAGUCCUACGGGAGGCCGCAGUCGGGAAUCUUACGCAAUGGGGGAGAGCGUGACGGAGCAACGGGGCGUGAGUGGUGACGAUGUUCGGAUCGGAAAACCCUGUUAUUAGGGGAGAACAAAUGUGCACGUAACUGUGCAGGUAUUGACGGUACCUGGUCAGAAAGCCACGGCUAACUACGUG
rnacentral:rRNA from 1 species